GGGAGGUCAAAAAGGUGUCUCAAAGAUUAAGCCAUGCAUGUCUAAGUAUAAGCAAUUAUACCGCGAAACUGCGAAUGGCUCAUUAAAUCAGUUAUCGUUUAUUUGAUAGUACCUUACUACUUGGAUAACCGUGGUAAUUCUAGAGCUAAUACAUGCUAAAAAUCCCGACUCACGAAGGGAUGUAUUUAUUAGAUUAAAAACCAAUGCCCCUCGGGGCUUUCUGGUGAUUCAUAAUAACUUCGCGAAUCGCAUGGCCUUGCGCCGGCGAUGGUUCAUUCAAAUUUCUGCCCUAUCAACUUUCGAUGGCAGGGUAUUGGCCUGCCAUGGUUACAACGGGUAACGGAGGGUUAGGGCUCGACCCCGGAGAAGGAGCCUGAGAAACGGCUACUACAUCCAAGGAAGGCAGCAGGCGCGCAAAUUACCCAAUCCCGACACGGGGAGGUAGUGACAAUAAAUACUGAUACAGGGCUCUUUUGGGUCUUGUAAUUGGAAUGAGUACAAUUUAAAUCCCUUAACGAGGAACAAUUGGAGGGCAAGUCUGGUGCCAGCAGCCGCGGUAAUUCCAGCUCCAAUAGCGUAUAUUAAAGUUGUUGCAGUUAAAAAGCUCGUAGUUGAACCUUGGGCCUGGCUGGCCGGUCCGCCUCACCGCGUGCACUGGUUCGGCCGGGCCUUUCCCUCUGGGGAGCCCCAUGCCCUUCACUGGGUGUGGCGGGGAACCAGGACUUUUACUGUGAAAAAAUUAGAGUGUUCAAAGCAGGCCUAUGCUCGAAUACAUCAGCAUGGAAUAAUAGAAUAGGACGUGUGGUUCUAUUUUGUUGGUUUCUAGGACCGCCGUAAUGAUUAAUAGGGACAGUCGGGGGCAUCAGUAUUCAAUUGUCAGAGGUGAAAUUCUUGGAUUUAUUGAAGACUAACUACUGCGAAAGCAUUUGCCAAGGAUGUUUUCAUUAAUCAGGAACGAAAGUUAGGGGAUCGAAGACGAUCAGAUACCGUCGUAGUCUUAACCAUAAACUAUGCCGACUAGGGAUCGGACGAUGUUAUUUUUUGACUCGUUCGGCACCUUACGAGAAAUCAAAGUCUUUGGGUCUGGGGGGGAGUAUGUCGCAAGCUGACUAGGAGUCCCCCCUCCCCCGACGCCAAGAAUCUCGCCUCUUACUACUUGUGGGGCUUGUGCAUGCUAG
rnacentral:rRNA from 1 species